rnacentral:rRNA from 1 species
AUUGAACGCUGGCGGCAUGCUUUACACAUGCAGGUCGAACGGCAGCGCGGGCUUCGGCCUGGCGGCGAGUGGCGAACGGGUGAGUAAUGCAUCGGAACGUGCCCAGUAGUGGGGGAUAGCCCGGCAAAAGCCGGAUUAAUACCGCAUACAACCUGAGGGUGAAAGCGGGGGACCGAAAGGCCUCGCGCUAUUGGAGCGGCCGAUGUCGGAUUAGCUAGUUGGUGGGGUAAAGGCUUACCAAGGCGACGAUCCGUAGCUGGUCUGAGAGGACGACCAGCCACACUGGGACUGAGACACGGCCCAGACUCCUACGGGAGGCAGCAGUGGGGAAUUUUGGACAAUGGGGGCAACCCUGAUCCAGCCAUGCCGCGUGCGGGAAGAAGGCCUUCGGGUUGUAAACCGCUUUUGUUCGGGAAGAAAUCCUCUGGGCUAAUACCCCGGGGGGAUGACGGUACCGGAAGAAUAAGCACCGGCUAACUACGUG